UUGCACGCUGGCGGCAUGCUUUACACAUGCAAGUCGAACGGUAACAGGCCUUCGGGUGCUGACGAGUGGCGAACGGGUGAGUAAUGCAUCGGAACGUACCCAGAGGUGGGGGAUAACGCAGCGAAAGCUGUGCUAAUACUGCAUGUGAUCUGAGGAUGAAAGCGGGGGACCGAGCAGCAAUGUUUGGCCUCGCGCCUUUGGAGCGGCCGAUGUCGGAUUAGCUAGUUGGUGGGGUAAAGGCCUACCAAGGCGACGAUCCGUAGCUGGUCUGAGAGGACGACCAGCCACACUGGGACUGAGACACGGCCCAGACUCCUACGGGAGGCAGCAGUGGGGAAUUUUGGACAAUGGGCGCAAGCCUGAUCCAGCAAUGCCGCGUGCGGGAAGAAGGCCUUCGGGUUGUAAACCGCUUUUGGCAGGAACGAAACGGUGCCCGCUAAUACCGGGCGCUAAUGACGGUACCUGCAGAAUAAGCACCGGCUAACUACGUG
rnacentral:rRNA from 1 species